rnacentral:rRNA from 1 species
GACGAACGCUGGCGGCGUGCCUAACACAUGCAAGUCGAACGGCAACGCACUGCUUUUGUGGUGUGCUCGAGUGGCGAACGCGUGAGUAACACGUGAGUAACCUGCUCUUGACUUUGGGAUAACUUCAGGAAACUGGGGCUAAUAUCGUAUCGCAGCUCCCGCUGCAUGGUGGGGGUUGGAAAGUUUCGGCGGUUGGGGUUGGACUCGCGGCUUAUCGGCUUGUUGGUGGGGUAGUGGCUUGCCAAGGAUUUGACGGGUCGCCGGCCUGGGAGGGUGGACGGCGACAUUGGGCCUGAGAUACGGAGCAGAGUCGUACGGGGGGCAACAGUGGGGAAUAUUGCACAGUGGGCGGAAGCGUGAGGCAGAGACGCCGCGGGCGGGAUGACGGCCUGCGGGUAGUGAACCGCUUUCGGCUGUGACGAAGCGGGAGUGACGGUAAUGGGUAAAGAAGCACCGGCUAACUACGUG